AUGUCUGCGGUGCUCUUCAUUCUGGGCUUCCUAAUUGUGAUGCUGACAACCCUGGCUAUUGUGCUGCAGCCCACUGUCCCUGUCCUUAGUCCCCUGAGGAGCUGGAAGCCACGAUGGAGGAGCCUGGGUGAGCCACACAUCCCACCAGAGUAUGUCCUUCUUAAGGAAAGCCUUCUCUACUACCAGAUGCUUGGUCCUCGUGGUUCUGGAGGAGAUGCAGCCUUUGGAGAAAAAGGAGCUGUGCAUAAUGAAGAAGGGUGCUGUGCAGUGAGAGACCUGGAGGAUUUCAGUGUUCGCACCCUGUACGAUAAGUUGGAAGAUCAGAAUUUGCACCUGGCAUCGCAGCUGGCAAAGCACAGGAGGGAUGUGUUGGUGUUUUACAGUGGAAUCAGCCAGCAGAUUCAAGGUCUCAUGGACAUGGUGCGAGCACUGGAUGCUGAAGGCCUGAAAGUCUUUGCCAGGCAAAGGAUUUGUGGGCAUAGAUCUGCAGCCAGCAGCCAGGCAGCAGUGAGCAUUGAACAGUGUGAUAAACACUGCAGCAGCAGCUUCCAUGCAGCAGGGCAGGCAGAUGCAAUGCAGCAAGAGGCAAUGGAGUUGAUGAAAGCUCUGGAAAUCCUGCUUGGGAAAGCUCAGCAUAAGAGCAUGAAACAAGAGGUGGAGCAGCAGGUCCAUGGACAGAACAUGGUGGCAGUUUUACCCUCACUGCACAGUGAAAGUAAAGCAAAAGUAGUGGAAGGGCAGGACCCCUCAGGCUCAUCUGAUUGCUUUGAUGUUCAGGCAGCGCCCAAAGAACUUCUGAGCAGCAGAGCAGCACCACAUCUCGGUGUCAAGGGACACUGGGCAUCUAGACUGCAAAAGUACCAAUGCCUUCAUCUGCGAGAGGGGAUCUUAAACAGGAUGGGAAAUACACAGGAAAGUAACUUCAGCAGAAAUUCAGACUCCCCUGUUAAGCUGACGGUUACACAACUGGAGGAGAGGCUGGAUGAACUAAAUGAGGCGUUUGUUGAGUUGACAGUCCAGGCCAUGAGUCUGCAAGAAGAUGGGGAUCUAUUGGAAAAGGAGCUGAGAAAACAGGAGGAAUCACUUGUGGCUGCAAGCAACAAAGAAGUGUGGGGAGCUCAGCGGUGUUCAGAACUGUUACGUUCUUGGACCAUAAAGAGGGAUGAAGCCUUGCUGCUGGAAAUAGAGAAGAACUGUAUUGCCCAGAGGAUUGAAGAGAUAGAAGCACAACUAUUGAGUGCAUCUAAGUAAAGCAGACAGCAGUUCGGAUGUUUACAAGGGGAAAGGAAGGAACAAAUGAAGUCAAAGGAGGCUGAGUGAGAGAUGCUGCACUUGGGUCAAGUUAAUCCCAGGUAGGAGUAUGGACUUGGAGAUGUCCUUGAGAGCAGCCCUGCAGAGAAGGAGCUUUGGGUUCUGAUGGAUGUAAGUGGGACAUGGGGCAGCAGUGUGUGCUUGCAGCCCAGUAGGGGUGCUCUUGCACCCACAGAGGGUUGUACCCAUCUGCAGUGCUGUGUUCAGGCUUGGGGCUCCUGGUAUAGGAGGGAUGUGGCUACAAAGAGGGGUGGUGUGAUCAUGUAUUUAAUUCUUUCUUUGAAGUGUUCACUGCUAAUAGCUCUUUCUCCAGCCCUCUCUGAAAUCUGGAAGUCAAGCACCUUCUGGAGUAGCUGUGAAGUCCCCUCCGGUCUGGAAGGCUGUUCUUUCCCUGAGACUGCUGAUAAGACUGACUGAGUCCAGGGUCACUUACCUUGGAAGAAAAGGUAUGAUGAGAUCCUUACAAAGAUCUCUUCAGUUGAUGGCUUUGUGUGGCUCUGUGUUCUGAAAUAAGGCCUUCUCAAGCUGGGUAGUAUUUGCUUUUUUUCCAAUGUGAAGCUGUUAGCUAGUCUCCCAGUUAGCAGAAGCAGACAAUAUUAAUGGUGAUGUUUGUUGCAGUUACUGAGGCCCUCCUUGGAUAUGUGUUCAUGUAGUUAACCCUUGCUUCUCAUUCAGAAAGCCAUAAACUUUGAAACACUGUUUUUAUUGGACCUUUUGUUCCAUCAAACAAAAAUGUCCAUUGAGAAUUUCAUCGGGCACCUGAAAUUCAAGUUGCAUUUGGAAAUAAGUCAAACUGAAGCUAGGAUUCCCUCUGUAUGUUUCCUAACCAUCUCAGUUCCAACCCCCCCAAAAAAGCUCCUUUCAAAAGCUGCUGUGUUGAUGCCAAGUUCUGUCUCUUACAGGACUUGAUGGUCCCAACGUGGUUGUUCUUGUGCCACUGCUGCAAGACUAUUGCCACUCCUGGGCUGGUAUGUGAGGUGAGUGUUAGACAGGUUAGAUGGAAUGUACCCUGGAAGCACCAGAAUAUCACUUGAUCUUUUCUUAUCAGCUUCUUUUUUGUUUUUCUCUACAGCUAAGUUGGGUAUGUGGGAAGAUUGAAAAGUGUCACCAAAUAAAGCAGGCAAGCAACCGUGCUUUUGGAGGUUC
ensembl:lncRNA